rnacentral:tmRNA from 1 species
UCUCUUUAAAUGCCUGAAAGCUUUGCCUAUAUUAGGAGGGCUGGUUUGCCAGCUAUGGCGAUAAACGGCGCAGUCAGUAUAUAUAGCGGACCCGGGGGCGGUACCCGGCGCCUCCACCAUCAGCAGCCGCGCACAGCAUGGAUUAUGGCGGCUGUUGAUGAUGGGGGCGAAACAGGAUCGACGUGUGUAGAACGCUGUAAGCCUUUCGCCCGGCAUGGUUCCGCCGUGAUGGGCCACCUUUGAUAAAUGCCAACGACAACGACGUCGAGUUUGCUGUUGCCGCGUAAGCGGUUCCUGUAAACUGCAUUUACUGAAUUCCUGAAGAUUGACAUCUUCAGGUGGGGGCUGGCCCACCUAGCAACAGAACGGGCCACC